UAGCUAGUUGGUGAGGUAAAGGCUUACCAAGGCGACGAUCUGUAGCGGGUCUGAGAGGAUGAUCCGCCACACUGGAACUGAGACACGGUCCAGACUCCUACGGGAGGCAGCAGUGGGGAAUUUUGGACAAUGGGGGCAACCCUGAUCCAGCCAUGCCGCGUGAGUGAAGAAGGCCUUCGGGUUGUAAAGCUCUUUCGGCCGGGAAGAAAUCGCAUGGGCCAAUACCCUGUGUGGAUGACGGUACCGGAAUAAGAAGCACCGGCUAACUACGUGCCAGCAGCCGCGGUAAUACGUAGGGUGCGAGCGUUAAUCGGAAUUACUGGGCGUAAAGCGUGCGCAGGCGGUUUUGUAAGACAGGCGUGAAAUCCCCGGGCUUAACCUGGGAACUGCGUUUGUGACUGCAAGGCUAGAGUACGGCAGAGGGGGGUGGAAUUCCACGUGUAGCAGUGAAAUGCGUAGAGAUGUGGAGGAACACCAAUGGCGAAGGCAGCCCCCUGGGUCGAUACUGACGCUCAUGCACGAAAGCGUGGGUAGCAAACAGGAUUAGAUACCCUGGUAGUCCACGCCCUAAACUAUGUCAACUAGGUGUUGGGUGGGUAAAACCAUUUAGUACCGUAGCUAACGCGUGAAGUUGACCGCCUGGGGAGUACGGCCGCAAGGUUAAAACUCAAAGGAAUUGACGGGGACCCGCACAAGCGGUGGAUGAUGUGGAUUAAUUCGAUGCAACGCGAAAAACCUUACCUACCCUUGACAUGCCAGGAACUUGCCAGAGAUGGCUUGGUGCCCGAAAGGGAGCCUGGACACGGGUGCUGCAUGGCUGUCGUCAGCUCGUGUCGUGAGAUGUUGGGUUAAGUCCCGCAACGAGCGCAACCCUUGUCGUUAAUUGCCAUCAUUUAGUUGGGCACUUUAACGAGACUGCCGGUGACAAACCGGAGGAAGGUGGGGAUGACGUCAAGUCCUCAUGGCCCUUAUGGGUAGGGCUUCACACGUCAUACAAUGGUCGGUACAAAGGGUUGCCAAGCCGCGAGGCGGAGCCAAUCCCAGAAAGCCGAUCGUAGUCCGGAUUGCAGGCUGCAACUCGCCUGCAUGAAGUCGGAAUCGCUAGUAAUCGUGGAUCAGCAUGUCACGGUGAAUACGUUCCCGGGUCUUGUACACACCGCCCGUCACACCAUGGGAGCGGGUUCCGCCAGAAGUAGGUAGCCUAACCGCAAGGGGGGCGCUUACCACGGCGGGGUUCGUGACUGGGGUGAAGUCGAAACAGGGUAGCCGUAGGGGAACCUGCGGCUG
rnacentral:rRNA from 1 species